rnacentral:antisense_RNA from 1 species
CUUGAUCGACCCGAGCCACAACGGGUGGUCCCGGUCCUGUCCGUAGGUGGCGAGCAGUGCCUCCGCCUC